UACGAAGGGGGCUAGCGGUGUUCGGAAUUACUGGGCGUAAAGCGCACGCAGGCGGAUUUAUAAGUCAGGGGUGAAAUCCCGGGGCUCAACCUCGGAAUUGCCUUUGAUACUGUCUAUCUUGAGUCCGGGAGAGGUGAGUGGAAUUCCUAGUGUAGAGGUGAAAUUCGUAGAUAUUAGGAAGAACACCAGUGGCGAAGGCGGCUCACUGGCCCGGUACUGACGCUCAUGUGCUAAAGCGUGGGGAGCAAACAGG
rnacentral:rRNA from 1 species